CUGAAGACACCUAUGAUUGACAACCCAGACUUCAAAGAUGAUCCGGAUCUCUAUGUUUUCCCAAAAUUGAAGUACGUUGGAAUUGAGCUGUGGCAGGUAAAAUCUGGAACGAUGUUUGACAAUGUCUUGAG